AUUGAACGCUGGCGGCAUGCUUUACACAUGCAAGUCGAACGGAAACAGGGUGCUUGCACCGCUGACGAGUGGCGAACGGGUGAGUAAUGCGUCGGAACGUGCCGAGUAGUGGGGGAUAACGCAGCGAAAGUUGUGCUAAUACCGCAUACGUACUGAGGUAGAAAGUGGGGGACCUUCGGGCCUCACGCUAUUCGAGCGGCCGACGUCUGAUUAGCUAGUAGGUGAGGUAAAGGCUCACCUAGGCGACGAUCAGUAACGGGUCUGAGAGGAUGAGCCGCCACAGUGGGACUGAGAGACGGCCCAGAAUCCUACGGGGGGCAGCAGUGGGGAAUUUUGGACAAGGGGCGAAAGCCUGAUCCAGCCAUGCCGCGUGUCUGAGGAAGGCCUUCGGGUUGUAAAGGACUUUUGUCAGGGAGGAAAUCCCUAGUGCUAAUAACACUGGGGGAUGACAGUACCUGAAGAAUAAGCACCGGCUAACUACGUGCCAGCCGCCGCCGUAA
rnacentral:rRNA from 1 species